AACAUCUUUUCUUGAAUUUUAUUUGAGAUUUAACCUGCCCAAUGAUUUUUUUUAAUGGCCGCGGUAUUUUUGACCGUGCAAAGGUAGCAUAAUCAUUAGUCUAUUAAUUGUAGGCUUGUAUGAAUGGUUGGACGAAAUAUUAACUGUCUCAAUUUUAUUUAAUAAAAUUUAAAAUUUUAGUUAAAAUGCUUAAAUUUUAUUAUUGGACGAGAAGACCCUAUAGAUCUUUAUUUUUAAAUUUUAUUUAUAUUUUGGUUUUAUUUUUUAAUUAAAAUAUUAAAUUUUUUGUUGGGGUGACAUGAAGAUAUAAUUAACUCUUUAUUUUUUAAAUCAAUUAUUUUUGUAAAAUUGACCUUUUAUUAUUGUUAUAAGAUAUAGAUACCUUAGGGAUAACAGCGUUAUUUUUUCUGAGAGUUCCUAUCGACGAAUAAGAUUGCGACCUCGAUGUUGGAUUAAGAUUACAUUUAAUUAUAGUGAAGUUGCUUAAAUGGUAGGUCUGUUCGACCUUUAAAUUCUUACAUGAUCUA
rnacentral:rRNA from 1 species